GGACCUCAGCGUCCGGGCAGAACGAUGGGGGUGGAGACGCUCCUUCAGGUAUACUGGGCCGAGGCCGUUUAGGGCUUUAAAGGUCAACACCAGCACUUUGAAUUGUGCUCGGAAACGUACUGGGAGCCAAUGUAGGUCUUUCAAGACCGGUGUUAUGUGGUCUCGGCGGCCGCCCCCAGUCACCAGUCUAGCUGCCGCAUUCUGGAUUAGUUGUAGUUUCCGAGUCACCUUCAAAGGUAGCCCCACGUAGAGCGCAUUGCAGUAGUCCAAGCGGGAGAUAACUAGAGCAUGCACCACUCUGGCGAGACAGUCCGUGGGCAGGUAGGGUCUCAGCCUGCGUACCAGGUGGAGUUGGUAGACAGCUGCCCUGGAUACAGAAUUGACCUGCGCCUCCAUGGACAGCUGUGAGUCCAAAAUGACUCCCAGGCUGCGCACCUGGUCCUUCAGGGGCACAGUUACCCUAUUCAGGACCAGGGAGUCCUCCACACCAGCCCGCCCCUGUCCCCCAAAAACAAUACUUCUGUCUUGUCAGGAUUCAACUUCAAUCCAUUAGCCGCCAUCCAUCCUCCAACCGCCUCCAGGCACUCACACAGGACCUUCACCGCCUUCACUGGUUCUGAUUUGAAAGAGAGGUAGAGCUGGGUAUCAUCUGCAUAUUGAUGGACACCCAGUCCAAAUCCCCUGAUGAUCUCUCCCAGCGGCUUCAUAUAGAUGUUAAAAAGCAUGGGGGAGAGGACGGAACCCUGAGGCACCCCACAAGUGAGGGCCCAGGGGUCUGAACACUCAUCCCCCACCACCACUUUCUGAACACGGCCCAGGAGGAAGGAGCGAAACCACUGUAUAACAGUGCCCCCAGCUCCCAGCCCCUCUAGACGGUCCAGAAGGAUGUUAUGGUCGAUUGUAUCAAAGGCCGCUGAGAGAUCCAGCAGAACCAGGAAACAACUCUCACCUUUGUCCCUAGCUCGCCGGAGAUCAUCAACCAGCGCGACCAAGGCAGUUUCAGUCCCAUGGUGAGGCCUGAAUCCCGAUUGGAAGGGAUCCAAAUGGUCCGCAUCCUCCAGGCGUGCCUGGAGUUGUUCAGCAACCACGCGCUCAAUCACCUUGCCCAAGAAUGGAAGAUUUGAGACUGGGCGAUAGUUGGCCAUACUGGCCGGGUCUAAAGAUGGUUUUUAAGAAGCGGUUUAAUGACCGCCUCUUUCAGCGGAUCUGGGAAUGUUCCCUCACAGAGGGAAGCAUUCACCACCCCGCAGAGCCCAUCGCCCAGCCCUUCCCGGCUUGCUUUUAUUAGCCAGGAUGGGCAAGGAUCAAGGAGACAGGUGGUUGGUUUCACGCGUCCAAGCAGCCUGUCCACAUCCUCGGGGGUAACGGAUUGAAAUUGAUUCCAUGCAACUUGACCAGACAGAGCUCUAGCACUCUCCCGCCCCGGCCCUGCUCCCACGGUGGUGUCUAGCUCCUUCCGAAUAUGAGUGAUUUUAUCUGCAAAAACUUUGCAAAAUCGUUGCAGGAGAUCUUGGGGUCUUUACAAGGCCCCGGUGGUAAAGGUGGUUCCGUUAAAUUGCGAACCACCUGAAAGAGUCUCCUGCUACUAUUUUCUGCAGAUGCAAUAGAGGCGGUGAAGAAAGUCUUCUUCGCCGUCGCUAUCGCCACUUGGUAGGCUCGACGUUGAGCUCUAACCUGUGUCCGGUCAGAUUCGGAGUGAGUUUUCUGCCACCGACGCUCUAGCCGUCUCAGCGAUUGUUUCAUCGCCCUCAGCUCCGAAGAAAACCACGGGGCUGUCCGGGCUCCAUGCAAUCGGAGAGGGCGCUCGGAGCCAGACAGUCGAUAGCCCUGGUUAACUCCGCAUUCCAGCGGGCCACCAGGGAAUCAGCUGAAAGGCCAUCAACAUGGGCUAAAGCAUCCCCUACCACUCUCUGGAAACCAUUUGGAUCCAUUAAGUGGCGGGGAGGACCAUCCGAAUUGGUCCCACCUCCCUGCAGAGGGGAAGGGUCGCGGAGAAGUCCAGUUGCACCAGGAAGUGAUCUGACCAUGGCACUUCUUUUGUUUCACUUUUACUUAGUGUCAGAUCACCCACGUCACUAGAGGUGAACACCAGGUCUAAGGCAUGUCCAUGACUAUGAGUUGGGCCAAACUUAUUCAGGGACAGCCCCAUGGAGGCCAUGCUUUCCACGAAGUCCCGAGCGGCCCCUUGUAAGGUCGUGUCGGCAUGGAUGUUAAAAUCCCCUAGGACAACCAAACUAGGUGUCUCCAGGAGAAAAUCCGCCACGACCUGAAGCAGCUCGGACAGGGAAUUCUUGGUGCAGCGGGGAGGUCGGUACACCAAAAGGAAUCCUGUACUGCCCCUAUUGCCCAACUUCCAGAACAUGCACUCAGAGAACUGGAUCUUCCCAGUAGGACGCCUGGUGCAAGCUAGUGACUUCCUAAAAAUCACUGCAACCCCCCCUCCCCGCCCACAUGACCUGGGUUGCUGUGCGUAAGAGAAACCUGGUGGGCAAGCAGCGGCAAGGACAGGCCCAUCUGCUUCCUCCAACCAGGUCUCUGUCACACAUGCCAGGUCAAAUCCUCCAUCCACAAUCAAGUCGUGGAUGGCAGUGGUUUUAUUCAUCAUUGACCUGGCAUUGCACAGCAACACUUUCAGGUCAUGUGGGUUUCCCCUGUUGAUUCCAGUAUCCAUCCGGUCAAGGCCAGACCCGGAGGCAGGGAUAGUCUUCAAACAACGACUAAACCUGCCUCCUCGGUAAUGACAUGGUCUGGUCUUAGCGUAACUCCGCCUCCUGCCCAUGAUCACCGAGAUCGGAUGUCCCAGUGCUUCCCCUGUGGAACUUGUCCCAGCCAUCGUGUUGGCUGGGAGCCACUCCCAGGCAGCCCUGAUCCCGCCCCUUAAAAACAAAACACAAACUAUA